UCACAAGUGUUUGAUCUGAUUAGGUCACUGCUAUGAAAUAGAAGCUGGAUACAAAUAUUUGCUCAGGUAUGUGGGUAGACUUGGUACUGUUUCCUUAACAAAUCACUGAUUUGUUACACAAUAAUUGCCCCUUAAAGUCAUUUUGAAAUGACUUUUACUCUCCUGAGCUGUAAAAUGUGAAUUAAGGAUCCCACAAUAAUAACUGCCAUGGCAUAAAGCAGCAGCAGACAGCCCUAGAUGUUAUUCAAGGAGAAACUACUGGGAGCAAGGCACCAGAAACUCAGUGGUGAACGGUGUAUCAGGAGAUGACCUUAAUGACCUGGGGAAAUUUCAGGGAGUAAAUUUCAAGUCUCAAGAGAACCCCAGUUGACUGGCAGGCUCCAAGUUACAAGUUUGUUCAACAGAAGGAAAAAAGAAAGAAAGAAAACACUCAGCGGAGCACAACAGACACUAGUAUGGCAAUAUGUAAAUCAAUGGAUGUGUAACUGAUGUGAUUCUGCAAUCUGUGUAUGGGGUGAAGGUGGGAGUUCAUAACCCACUUGAAUCAAAGUGUGGAAUAUGAUAUGACAAGAAAUUUGUAAUGUUUUGAACAACCCACAAUUAAAAAAAAAAAGAAAGAAAGAAAACACUAAGAACUAGGAAGUAAAAAAAAAAAAAUAAUGAUAAUGCUCAAAUGAAUGAUGACAGAGCCGAUGGUAUUCAGCAAAUUAAUCUACUCUUCUACAUUUUCCAGAUUUCCCUGCAGUUAGAUUAAGUCUGCCUGGGCUGGUCAAUGGGCUGAAGCAAAGAGGAGCUAAUGUGAUUUCUAUUAUCUCCAUUCCCUAUAACUGGAAAAGAUGAGAGGUAGUUUUGUAUGGGUGGUGAGUGGUGCACAGGAAGAAGGCAGAACAGGCUGGAAACUAAACAUGUAUUCAUUGCUUAAGGACUGCUCUUGUGAAAGCUUCAGGAACACAGGGAUUCCAUCUGUCCUGGUUGUUCUUGUGACGAUACACUGUACAACAAGGUUUUGUAAAGGAGCUAACUUUUCAUGCUAUGAAAGGUCUAGCAACAUUCUUCUCCCAUGGCAGGGGGUACCAACUCACAUUUUAUUCAGACAACUUGGAAGUCAGCCCCUCUAAAUCCCCUCUGUACACUUUUCCACCCCUCUCUAAGGUCCCAAGAGGCUAAAUUAUAGUGAUUACAUCAUUGGACUUUCUUAUCAUUUGUCUUCCAUUUGGGCCGUGGGAGUGGAGGUAGAAUGCAAGAAGGAAGGGAAAGUGAGGUCAUGGUCAUGGUACUUAUACAUAAAUUUAAAUAUAUAUAAUUAAAUAAGUAUAUACAAAUGCAAAUAUAAGACAUGAUUGAUUACUAGGAAUAAAUGGAAUACAAUGUUAAAGAAACCAGAAAAAUCUUAUCCCCUAUGAAAGCAUACAUAAAAAGAUAAAUUCAAGAUAGAAUGUUCCUUGAUGAACAUGAAAACUGGGGGUGUUGUUAGAAGAUUUGGAUAUUUAAAGUAUGUAAAUGUGGUACUAAAAUACUCAGACAGUUGCAGGGUGCUUGGACACUGCCAACAUUUGCUUUGAGAUGUCUUGGUCUACUUCCAUUGCUGAGAAAUUCCUUUUCUGGGUAUCACAUUAUUUCUUUAGCUACUGAGAAAGGAAAAGCAGCCCAUGACAGAUAGCAGCUGGCCUGGACUAUCAUCCAGACCUUGGUGUUGCUAAGAGCUGGCUCAGCAUAGCUCACUUUGAUGUUCUACAGAACAUAAACAGUUUCAUAAAAUAUCAACACCAGAAAAGCCCACUAAGUGACCUUGAAAAAUCAAAACAAAAACAAGACCAUGUCUGAACAUAAAAAAGGUAAGAAUUAUUCAAACCACAAUGGAUAAAUACACUAAUGCUGUGCUGCAUUAGCAUAUUUAUCAAUUAUAGCUUAGCUUCACUUCAUUCCACACAAUACAGCUUUCCCUACACCCUAUUUCCUGACAACUGGCAAUCCUGAGCAAAGUCUCCAAAUCAACCAACCCAAAUCCAAAUCCUAGAAUAAUCCUAAUAUUCUCUUACUCAAAGAUCCCAUAUUUCUCUACAAUGUGUGUUCUCCCUUGGGCAAAGAGCAAUAAACACAAUUUGUACAACUACAGGUGUAGUUCCCAGUAAUCUUUGAUUGAAGGACAUCAACAAAACCUCAGGUUCAGCUAAUGUGCUUCUUAUCUGGACCAGGACUUAACUCAAAUAAGUGUAUUCACAUAAGACUGCUUACAAUUUUAUCUGCAUGAGGUGCACCUGUUCCUGGCUGGAAGGUGUGUUCAUUAUAUAUUGGCUAAAGUGCCUCAGUAUUGUUUUGUUUCCCUCUGGAAGAAUAUCUCUUGGAUUUAUUUUUCCAGUACUGGGGAUUGAACCCACGUUCUCAUGCAUGUUAGGCAAAUGCUCUACCACUUAGCUACAGCCCCCAGCACAGAUUUUUUUUAAAUUAUCUAAUUAGAUUUGUAUUCUUUGUAAAAUCACUUUUAGUCUUAUAUUCCCUACUUCUACAGCUAAUAUUUAGUGAUGUCUACAAAAAGGAACGUUUUUAGGGAGAAAGAUUGAUAUAGGUUUAAUAAAUCCAUUUGUGAUCUAUAUUCAAGGGCUAAGAAGUUCAGAAGGGCUCCAGACCUUGGGAUAAAUUUUGCUUAGGCCCCAUUUCCAAAUCUGAUUCAAAACAAAAACAAACACAAACAAACAAAAGACUUCUUCCUGAGCCCUGUCUUUCUGCCCCUGAGAACUGGUCUAUUUAGUUUUGUCUUUGACUACCUGGCCCCAUAAUUGAUGCUGACUGCCUUAAUCCAGCUCUGGGGGUUAGAAGUUAUGCAUCUUUGCAGAACACUGCAUUUGUCUCACUCAUCACAAUAAAACUACGUCUCUUCCAAGCCAAUGCAUUUCCUUUGUGCUUUCUCACUAUGAUGCUGAUUUGUACACUUACCUAAUAGGUUCAACUUGAUGAGGGAUAUUGUGGAAUUGUAGUGACUGCUUGGGAAAAAAGAAGAACAGUUUGUUUGAGAAGGACUUUGAAACAGAAACUGAAUCAACUCCCCAUGAACAGAUUUGUUUUGUUUUGUUUUGCUUGUUUAAAAAAAAGGUAAUUUUGUUGAGUGUAAGGUUCAUCCUGGCUUUGAAUCUAUACUUUCAGGUUAAGCAGUGCUGGCUUUUUAAAUUACACAGCUUGAUAAGAGUAUCAAGGAUACAAAUUACUUUCCAAAUGUGCUAUAAUUCUCUUUCAUAUAUGUAUAUAUAAAAAUCUGAUUUUCCACAACUAAACUUUCUUUCCUCUCCUGAUAGAGAGAAGUUUGCAGUGAUAAUUUCAUAUCUGCCCGAGGCUGGUUGUGUUUCUUAUUCUUCUUUGUGUGUUGUUCCUCUUGUUCUCCAUUUCCCUCUCUCAGGAAGCUCAUCAUUUACCUGAUUUUAGAAAACAAUGGUUUGUCAGCAUCAAAUUUUUCAUGUUCUCAACAUUCUAAAAUGCCUACAUUGUUUUUUAUGAAUUAGUAAGUUACCAACUUUUAAAACUCCCUUAAAAUGAAAACAUAUGUAAAAAUUAUAUUCAACUGAAUGAUAAUAAAGAAUA